CAAAAUGGCAUGACGACAAUAAUGCUGAAGCGGGGAAUAACUUCGGGAACGGACAGAUAUAGGGGAGGAAAUGAAAGCAGGUGAUUGAGUCCAGGUCAUAUACGGGGUUACUGUUGAAUAACAACAGCUUUUCAAUGAAAUAAUGGAAAAUCCAUGUGGACACCCAUGUGGAGAGAGGGCUGUCGGUUUAACUCCUUGGAUAUAUUCUUGGUGACUGGUGCAGACAGUUGACUAAUUAACAGGGUAACUCGUGUCCUCUCUCUCCUGGCUGGAGGAGAUUCCAUGAUGUAACCCAGCCUGGUCUGGUUGGACCUCUUCAGGCUGCAUGGCAGAACACUGUG
rnacentral:lncRNA from 1 species